UCUGGUGCUGCCCCUCCAGAGCCCUGUCCUGUGCCCUGCGUCCCUCCAGUGCUGAGGGCAGCAGAACCUGCCCCCCAAACGCGCCCUUGGACACAGGAUUAUGUGGAGCUGAGGACAAUGGAAAGACAGCAGAUGCCAUAAAGGCGCUCUGCUCUCAAGCCUCACAGCAGGCUCUAGUCGCCCACCAGCUCUGAGAGCCCGAAGGGAACCCCCAUAACAAGCUGCGGGCCAUGCACGGCAAGGAAGUGAGCGACAAGACGACCUGCGGACGGGGGAAGUGUUCGCAAGGCACAUGUCUGGGGUGACAGUCUGCUCUAAGCCUCCUGGCGCCCUGUCAGAAGCAAGAGGAGACGUCAGCCCCACGCGUCACUCUUCUCCACCCCGAGCUCUCUAAGAAAGGAGCGAGGCUGACCCUGAGAGUUUCACCUCAGCAGCCGCCCACCCCAGCCCCUCACCUGGGACAGGCAUCACGAACAGGAAGAGCAAGGCCAGCAGCAGUCUUCAAAAUCCGUGCUCCAAGCCAGCGAGUGCUAAAGGCCUGUUACUCCCCCUCGUGCUGACGCCGCCGUAUUGUUACCAGCUAGAGUAACCCUGGGCCACACACUGUCCUGAAUCCUCUGUGAACAUCCUGAGACUUAGCCGUGCGGUGGGAUCUUAGAUGGCGGGAGUCACCAGCUGCCUCCAACGUGUGCCCUGGUCCACGUGUUCUCACUGCGUGUUGUGUGUGAGGUAAUGCUGACAUCUGGCC